rnacentral:rRNA from 1 species
CCUAGAACUAAUCUAAGGUGUAACCUGCCCAAUGGUUUUUAAAUUAAUAAGUAUAACCACUUAAAAGAAAACUUAAAGGACGCAGUAACCUGACUGUGAUAAUGUAGCAUAAUCAUUCGCCAUUUAAUUGAUGGAUAGUAUGAAUGGUUAAACGAAUUCUUCACUGUCUCGGAAAGAGAAACCAUGAAAUUAAAAUAAUAGUUAAGAUGCUAUUUAAAAUUGUAAGACGAAAAGACCCUAUAGAGCUUAACUAUAUUCUCUUUAAAACCCAAUUAAAGUAAUAAAGAGAAAGGUAGUUUAGUUGGGGCGACUGUCUUCUAAAAAAAACGAAGAUAAACAAAAUUAAUAAUAAAUUUACUGUAUAAUAUAUAAAUUUAACAGUUACAAAAGUAGGUUACAUUGACCCGUUAUAUUCAAGUGAUAAACAUAACGAUCAAUAAAUAAAAGCUACCUUAGGGAUAACAGGAUAAUUUUGUUCUAGAGAUCUUAUCGAAAACAAAGUUUGUCACCUCUAUGUUGAAUUAAGAUAUCCUAGUAACGCAGAAUUUACUGAGGGUAGGUCUGUUCGACCUUUAAAAU